CCGUACCAAGGCGACGAUCUGUAGCUGGUCUGAGAGGACGACCAGCCACACUGGGACUGAGACACGGCCCAGACUCCUACGGGAGGCAGCAGUGGGGAAUUUUGGACAAUGGGCGCAAGCCUGAUCCAGCCAUGCCGCGUGCGGGAAGAAGGCCUUCGGGUUGUAAACCGCUUUUGUCAGGGAAGAAACGGCUCGGGCUAAUACCUCGGGCUAAUGACGGUACCUGAAGAAUAAGCACCGGCUAACUACGUGCCAGCAGCCGCGGUAAUACGUAGGGUGCAAGCGUUAAUCGGAAUUACUGGGCGUAAAGCGUGCGCAGGCGGUUAUGCAAGACAGAUGUGAAAUCCCCGGGCUCAACCUGGGAACUGCAUUUGUGACUGCAUGACUUGAGUACGGUAGAGGGGGAUGGAAUUCCGCGUGUAGCAGUGAAAUGCGUAGAUAUGCGGAGGAACACCGAUGGCGAAGGCAAUCCCCUGGACCUGUACUGACGCUCAUGCACGAAAGCGUGGGGAGC
rnacentral:rRNA from 1 species